ACACUGACGUCGCGACGCAUAUCAAUAAGCGGAGGAAAAGAAACUAACAAGGAUUCCCCUAGUAACGGCGAGUGAAGCGGGAAGGGCUCAAAUUUGAAAUCUUAAAGGGUUUCCCUUUACGAAUUGUAGUUUAAAGAAGUGUUUUCUGUUGGAGUUUCGGUAAAAGUUCUUUGGAAUAGGACAUCAUAGAGGGUGAGAAUCCCGUAUUUGACCGUUACUUUCCAGCUGUGUGAUACACUUUCAAAGAGUCGGAUUGUUUGGGAAUGCAGUCCAAAAUGGGUGGUAAAUUUCAUCUAAAGCUAAAUAUUGGCGAGAGACCGAUAGCGAACAAGUACCGUGAGGGAAAGAUGAAAAGAACUUUGAAAAGAGAGUUAAACAGUACGUGAAAUUGUCAAAAGGGAAGCGUUUGACACCAGUGUCGUUUUUCUGAAAAUCAAUUAAAGAACUGUUUAUGCUAAGUUGUUUAGACUUUAUCAGCUAACUGUUUAGUUUUGAGCUUUUCUUUAAUGCACUUUUCAGUUAACAAGUCAACAUCAAUUUCUUUUGCUGUAAAAAAGCUUGAGGAAGGUGGCUUGAGGUUCGUCUUAAGUGUUUAUAGCCUCUUGCCUAUGCAGUCGGAGAGAUUGAGGUCUGCAGCGUAGAUCCUUCGGGGCUAAAUGCAUUUGUGCUAAGUUAUAGCAUUUUAUAGACAACUUGUUGACUAUGAUUUGUCUUGUAGCUUACUCGCUUAUGUUAUUUUACCUACGCUUAGGAUGUUGAUGUGAUACUGCGAGCA
rnacentral:rRNA from 1 species